GGGGGUGAUUCUAGAUUCGACGCUGGUAGGGUGGGCCGGAGAAGCGAGCCGAGGUCCCGCGCCUCGUUAAACAGCGGGCCAACGAUAAGUGCCGACGAAGAACUCGCUCUGGCUGCUUAAGGCAUAGCGGCCAAGCCGGGCGGCGCCCUUGCCUGCGGGGUCCGCUCGGUUCAACCCGGCAGGCUGGCGAUGGGCGGCGCCCGCCCUGCCCGUCGCGAGAACCCAUGGGCGGGCUGGCCUGCAGCGGCCCGGCCUCCGGGGGCCGCGCGGGCGAGAGCUCGCCGGAGGCUACGCUCGUAGAUGCUCCGGCUGGCCCACUGGCGGACCGGGGUGCAAAUCCCCGCACCUCCACAG
rnacentral:tmRNA from 1 species